rnacentral:tRNA from 1 species
GCCGCGCAGCGCAUACGGCAACUCGCCGCUCGCGGCGGCGCCGGGCAGGUUCCACGCCUGCCGCGCGGCG